GACGAACGCUGGCGGCGUGCUUAAUACAUGCAAGUCGAACGGACAGGCCAUGAUCUUGCGGGGUUCUCGUGUGGCGCACGGGUGUGUAAAACACGAGUAUACUCUACCUGUAUUAGUGGUAAAACUACGAAACUCGGGCUAUUAUAGGGUAGGAUAUAUUGCACCACGGUGUGCGUUGGUAAGAUUCGGCGGUUGUGGAUGGUCUCGCAGCUUCUCAGCUUGUUUGUCGAGUAGUGGAUUACCAAGCCUACGACGGGUAGCCGGCCUGAGAGGGUGACCGGCCACAAUGGGACUGAGAGACGGCCCAGACUCCUACGGGAGGCAGCAGUGGGGAAUAUUGCACAAUGAGCGGAAGCCUGAUGCAGCAACGCCGCGUGCGGGAUGACGGCCUUCGGGUUGUAAACCGCUGUCGCCUGAGACGAAGCGUGAGUGACGGUAAUGAGUAAAGAAGCACCGGCUAACUACGUG
rnacentral:rRNA from 1 species